rnacentral:ncRNA from 1 species
ACAGGGGAGCCUGUCCGAAGAAAAUCGGGCGGCGCUGAGAGGGGGCACAGCCCCGACCCUUUUUACCUGAAACGGAUCAUGCCGGCGUAGGAAGUUUGCGGAUUU